rnacentral:lncRNA from 10 species
AGUUCCGGGUGGGCGUGGGCUUGGCGGGCCCUGCACUCGGAGCAGCUGGCCAGCCCUGCCAGUCCUGGGCAAUGAGGGGCUUAGCACCCGGGCCAAAGGCUGCGGAGGGUGUACUCGGUCCCCCAGCAGUGCCAGCCCGCUGGCACUGCGCUCGAUUUCUCGCCGGGCCUUAGCUGCCUCCCCGCGGGGCAGGGCUCGGGACCUGCAGCCUGCCAUGCCUGAGCCUCCCCGCGCUCUGUGGGCUCCUGUGCGGCCCGAGCCUCCCCGACGAGCACCGCCCCCUGCUCCACGGCGCCCAGUCCCAUCGACCACCCAAAGGCUGAGGAGUGCGGGCGCGCGGCACGGGACUGGCAGGCAGCUCCACCUGUAGCCCAGGUGCGGGAUCCACUGGAGACUGAGACACUGGAUUGGUGCCUGAAACUGGUACACACAGUGGGAGGAACGGAUGAGAGCAAGCAUGGACAACCACAUCCCUUGCCAAGCAAGCAUCAGAGCUAGAAUGGCUGAACCCGAAGGUCACUAAUACCAGAUGAA